GAUGAACGCUGGCGGCGUGCCUAACACAUGCAAGUCGAGCGAACAGACGAGGCGGCUGCUUUCCUCACGUUAGCGGCGGACGGGUGUGUAACACGUGGGUGACCCACCUUUAAGACUGGGAUUAACUAGGGGAACCGGAGCUUAAAACGGCUAAUAUACUCAACCGCAUGGUUUAAUACCGAAGGACGGCUUGGCAGCUGAUUAGACAUGGAUCCGGGCCGCAUUAGCUAGUUUGACAGGUAACGGCUGACCAAGGCGACGAUGCGUAGCAGAUCUGAGAGGGUGACCAGCCACACUGGAACUGAGACACGGUCCAGACUCCUACGGGAGGCAGCAGUAGGGAAUCUUGCGCAAUGGGCGAAAGCCUGAUGGAGCAAUGCCGCGUGAAUGAUGAAGGUCUUCGGCUUGUAAAGUUCUGUUAUAGGGGAGGAAGGAAGGUAAGAUUAACUAUGCACUUCUUGACGGUACCUGAAGAAGAAGCCACGGCUAACUACGUG
rnacentral:rRNA from 1 species